rnacentral:snRNA from 1 species
GCACCCUUCAGGGUUGCACACAAUAAAUCUUGGAACAAUACAGAGAAUAUUAGCAUGGCCCCUGCACAAGGAUGACCCGCUUUUCCGGAGUGGUAGACCUAUGGGUC